CGCCUGUUCUGGGAAAGGUGACAGAUCGUCACUAGGCUUUGCAAUUCUGUAGUGACAGGAUGCAUUCAUACUCAUCAGACAUGACUGAAGUGUUUGCCUACCAUCCACCUGAACCAAGUGCAGACAGCACAGGGCCGGCAGAGCUCAUUUCAAGGAAGAGCUGGUUUUAAUCAACUCAGUAGGGGCCCACGGCCAUGCAGAGGUCCCGAAGCCCCGAGUUUUCACAGGAACACAACAAGCCUUAGAUAAAGAUAAGGAUUGCAGAUAAGAUUCAAGACCUUCACACUAACCUACAUGUCCUGCUUAUUAUUAUUAUUAUUAUUAUUUGCUUUGAGGUAGGGGCCUGCGAAGUUGCUCAGGCUGGGCUCCAACUUAAGAUACUCCUGCCUCAGUUUCCCAGAGUGUGGGGAUGACAGAGGUAUGCCACGGCUUCCAGCUCCUUCGUCUUCUGCCCGGGAGUAGGAAGACGCGUAAGACCCCCUUGAGGCAGGUGGAAGUUUGGAGGAAGACAAGAUUAUAGACAAAAUAAAGGACUGGGAUUUGAGGAGUAUGCUGCUCAUGGUCAGUUUCAAUGGGCUGCUUUGCAUCAGGCUGCCUGGAUCUCCUAGCAGCUGCUGCUGCUGCUGAAGAGACGCAUGUGGAUCACCACUUAAAAACCGUGAGUGGCAGGCACUGACCAGAGGAGAGAAGGAAAUCCAGGAGGACUUAGUAAGGAGAAAAUGCUAUUACUCACAAGUUCUCCAGUGCCCACGUGGGAUGGAAGAAUAUCAGUUUUUUCAACAAGAUUCUAUUGUUCCGCAUAAGGCGAUCAUUCUUAUACUGUGGAAUACUUCAUUACAGCCAAGGAAACCUGGGGUGGAGCUUCAGCUUUUGAGGAUGAGUAUAAGGUACUCAUGAGAAGAGAAGAUUUUUUGAACAUCUCCUGUUAUGUGUUUAGAGCCAGGACAGAAGUGUCUGGAACAGGACUCUUGCAGCGAGUGUCUCUGAGGAGAGUGUCUAUUUGAGCUUCGUGUUCUUUUGUGUGUCCAAGAGAAGAGCAAGAGAAGAGCCGGCAGAGACCAGCAGAAGUGAGACCGAUAGCUACGGCUCAGAGUGGCACCCCUCACCCCUUGGUGGUGCGUGCUGGCUCUUUGUGGGUGCACCUUCCGGAGCUGGCAGGACCAUAGCCCUGUCCCUGCACAAGGAGCUGCUUCUGGAGCCUGCCUGCUGGCCGUGUGACCGUUCUGUGAGAACAAAGGGGUACACCCCUGGCAGAACCUACUCCUAAGGUCAUCAGGCCCAGAAUUUUAGCUACUCAGCCUCACAGUCGGUCCUUCAACCUUUUCUCAAAGUACAAUUGGCUAGAGCUGUGACCUUUCUCCCUGCCUCAGGGCAAAAGCCAUGGACAGACCCGUGGGGUUGGCUGAUUACCAUAAGAGGCCUUAGCCUUUUCAGUACACACAGUCACAUAUAUUAGAGGUGUGUCAGGAAAAGACGAGUUGCAAGGUGUUCAGACAGGGGUGUAGACCCCACAGCGCCAGCUGCUCACAUUUACCUCCAUAGCGCAUGUGGUCAUGGAUUUUCCUCCCCAGCCAUUAGAAAUGUCUCAGAGAGUCAGCUGGCCGUCCCUGCAGCCCAUUAUGGAGAAUCUUUGUUCAAUUAAUUGCUGAUUGCUUUUAGUAGUGAAUUUCAGGUCUGCGCGCGCGUGCACGUGUGUGUGUGUGUGUGUGUGUGUGUGUGUGUGUGUGAAGUGCUUUCAUAUGGAAACUUUAUUGCCAGGAAAUUGGAGGAUUAAUCCUUCAACUGUAGAACAGAGAUUCUAAACUCUUUGAGCUGAGGAUCUUUUUUUUUUUUUUUAAAUAAUCAAAACUUUCCUUUGAUAUUCUGCUAACAAUAGCAUCCCCAGUAUCUGUUAAUUAAGAAAAUACAGAAAGCUAGCAUGACCUCACGAUGUUGGUAAAUGGCCUGAAAAAAUUCUACCAGGCAGUUAAAAAUGUACCAAAGGUCCAUUCCACGUGUUAGGCAAGACUGUGGAUGCCCUCCCCCCAGCUGGCUUGAGAAAUGGGCUGGUGUGACAUUCUUAGUUUAUUUUGUGCUUUCCUUUGCUCCAUUUAUUUCUUGUGGAGCACUUAGGCUGCUGGCUGAGUGUACAAAAUGAAGGUCAUGGAUCAUGACAUGUCCUGGUUGGAAGGAGUCUCGGGCAUCCUUCAGUGUGGCCUCCUCAUUUUAUGGAUGAAGAAACUGAGUUUAAGCAAGGGACAGGACUUGCCCAAGUCCAGGCAGCUAAUCUUGUGUUGGAGCUAGGAGUGUGCUCCUGUUUUUUCACUGCCGCUUUCACAUUUUUCUUCUGCAGUCGUAUGAAGAACGGCUGUUUGUCUCUCUAGUCCUAAGGUGCACUGGAUUCGGCCACAGUUUAUGUAUGACUCUACUGCAUCUAUUUUAUUUGCAUUAUUGAUAACUGUUUGUGAGAUAUAAUGGUACAUUCAUCUUGGGAAAUCGGAGCCUCUGCACAUCACAUCUUAGUCUUUCGUUCCCCCUCUUCACCUCCGCACCCUCCCAUCUCUCCCAUCUCCAUGAGGUUCAUGCAUCUAUUUUAAAAUUCCCUUGGCGUUAAAAACUUGUUAAAAAAAUAAAAAUUACUUCUGAGCCUUUCCUUUUGAGUAGUAAAUAGAUGGAUAUUUUAAUGUAGAUUAAAAUAAUAACAUGAAUCUUGAAUAGCCACUUUUACUGAGUUGAUGCAUAUGUUGUGUGUAUCAUGCAUGCCUUUAAAGGGAGGAAAAUGUGUCUAGUAUUUAGAAGUGUAGAUGAAUGGACCCGUUAUUUGGGAGACAGUAGGGUAUGGUGAUGGAAAUCAGGGAUACUGGAAGUGAAGUUGCUUGGAUUUGUAUCCCAGCUCUACUGUUAAUAGCUGGGGGUCCCUAGGCCAUUCAUUUAAACUUUCUCUGCCUUAACUAAAGUAUAAAAUAAGAAUGAGAAUAUUACCUACCUGCUUGCAGUCAAAAUUAGUUAAUGUAUGUAAAGAACUUGGCAUAUUGCACGUUACAUCUCAAGUGUUCAAUAAGUGUUUGUGUUGUUAGAGAAAACAGCUUGUUCAUCAAGUUCGCUUUGUUUGAAACCGUAUUUUACACAGGGCUUUGUUCGUAUGAAGAGGCAGCUGGGUUGACCGGCAUGGACAAGGCUCUCUCCUGGGUCUUUGCUUUCUUACCGAAGUGCCAGCGCCUUGGCGAAUACUGGUCAAGGCCAAGACUUCACGCAGCCCCUGCCUGGAAGCAGAUGUGGCUUCCCCUCUGGUCUGUGUUCAGCCUGCAGCUUGCUGUGUUCGGAAGCAGCAGCUGUGAUUCCCAGAGCUCCCUGAAGAGGGCAGCCUUUCCUUUCCUGUGUUUUACAGACGCUGACAGAACCCUAACCUCUCCCCGAAUGGCGUGGGCUGGCUUGUCACCUAAGUGCAAAUGUCAUUUUAGCACUUCGCUGGUCAGAACACUCCUUCUGGCCUUUAUAGGAAAUGACAUAUUCCUGUGUUCUUCGUCUCCAACACUUGCUUCAGAGCGGCGAGGGCAAGUUCUUCUGUUCUAAAAGGUUGGAGAGAAAGUGCAGAGACCUGUAGGCCAAACACCAGGGAGCACAGACAGCGCAAAUCAGGGUACAGCGCCACCUGGUCUGGCGGAAAGUGCAGAACGAGACUGCUGGCUUUGUAUCCCGUCGUUCUUAACAGCUUUCCACUGUCCUUUCUCUUCCCUGGGCCAGAGGGACGCUGGAACAAGACGGGCACUCUGCGCCCCACAGGCUGCCUUUCGUCCGUCUCCACAGGGGCCUUUGCUCCUCGGCCUCUCUCCCUUGCCCUGCCCUCUUUUUAGCCUGCUCGUGCCCCUGGCAUUCAGGUCUCUUUAUCAUCCUUGGGGCUGGUCUUGGCGCGGCUGCAGCAGCGCAGAGGUGUUGCUGUAAGCGCGCCCAAAUUAUUACCAACAGCAGGUGCCAGGGAGGCAUUGAUCCGGCUGCACAUGACAGCUUAGGGAAGGAAGUUGAGAGCAAUUUUAUGGCCUAUUACAGCGCCGCUCUCUCACAAGGAGAAAACUCUGACAAGUGACUCCAGCCUACCUGGAUUUCUGAAACACCGAAAGUUGCUUUUAAUUACAACAAUUACUGCUCCCAGCCAGGCCGAGCUCACAGAGGCCCAGAGAUAUAGGAGCAUUCUUUAUUAGCUGGUUUUUCUUCUCAGCAUUUUCUCUUGUUCUCAUUAUAUAAGAUACUAUGUUUUAGAUCUAAAAUGUUGCCUAAAAGUCUCCUGUUCAGAGGUGGGGCCUGGAUCACCGGGGUGCUACCUUCCACAGUGGACUCAUCCACUGAUGAAUUCAUAGCUGAGUGUGACGUUAGGAGAGAGGACCUGGGUGAAGGAGCUGCUGCACUGGGGUGUGUGUUAAAGGUGAUAUUCUGGCUCACGGGUCCCCUCUUGUCUCUCUCUGCUUCCUGACUGCCAUCUGCUGAGCUGCUUUUCUCGGAACAUGGACUGAAUCCCCUAUAACCAUAAGCAAAAAUAAGCUUCUAUUCCUUUAAGUUGUGGGUGCCAGGAAUUUCAUUCCAGGGAUGGGAGAUUUACUGAGAAGCAAGAUUUCCGACCAAUAUCAGGCCUGGGCAGUAUUAUUACUAAACACUGAUAUAGCAUGCCUCGAGCCAACCCACGCCCUACAGAAUAUACACAUGUUACCAGACUCAAUUCUAUCUCUCAAAACUCCUUUGAGAGGGUCUUAUUAUAAACCUAAUUUUUUAGACCAAGAAACUGAGACAUAAGAGAUUAAUUGCUUUGCUCAGUUGCCCGAGGUGAUGGACCAGGCUGGGCUUGGAACCCAGACCGCACGGCUCUUCUCCUUGCUUCUCAGCACGGUGCUGUUAUUUCCAGAGGAAGAUGUGGGCUCAUGCCCUGCAUGCAGACAGAGCUGCUUACCUGUAAGAAAGUAUAAGAACACGAUGCUGUCUCAGAUACUGCAUGAUGGUCUGUCUUCGGAGGGAACAUGGAUUAGUUGCUGCAGAUGGCAGUAAACACCAGCAUUAACAGCUGCUCUUCCAGGACGGCAUCCUGACUCGUCAUCCUGUGUGCCAUUGAUCACAGUGGAUAUUGAGUCAGGAUUUCUCAUGGGAAACAAAAAUGGCCACCCUCACAGGCCCCCCUCCCCCCGGAGACUAGAGGAAAGCUUCAAAGAACAAAAUCUAUCAUUAUGUUGAUUUGUUAAACAAAUACUAACGGUGUAUCUCCUACAUGCUGGCACUAGGCUUAGCUCUGGAUGCCCUGCUGUUCAUAAGACAGUGUUGUGUCACUUGGUGUCUCCUAGUCUAGAAGGGAGACAGAUCAGCACGCGGUAUGUAGGGAGACGAAUGUGAUGCUCCUCUGUAAAGUUUUUGUAAAUGGGAUGUGAUCCAGAAUUGUAGUGAAGAGGACUGUAAGACCUAGACUAGAGAGCUUCAUGGGUCUUAAUUCAUGCCAAAGAAGCCAUUCUGCAACAUACCGAAGCACAUUUCACUAUAAACCUCUACUGGAGCAGGGAGAGAACGUUCUGACUCACACGCGGACUGGCUAGAGGAAGCUUUAGUUUUGGAAGCAUUAUCUGUCACUCACUCGUCAACACCCAGCAUCUUCAUGGGGCAUUUCUGGUACUCCAGAGUUUCGUUAGGUCAAUCUGUUGCUCCUUUGGAAGCUUGACAUUUUGAAGAAUGUGCAUGUUGUGUGUUAUCCUUCCUUGCAUAUGCCUCCAAAGAAGGAAGAGAAGAAAGAAAGUAGCGUCACCAGAUUUAAGGACAGGGGAAAUGAGAAAAAGGAAGGGAAGGAGAAACUAGAAGAGAAAGAAUGUCAGAAAGAAGUAGAGCAGGCAGGGAGCCACCUGGAGGGGGAACACUCACAGGACGACAACUCUGCCCUGUUCUCCCCUUCCCAGCAAACUGUAGCGGGGCUGCUACAGUCAUUCUGCUUCACAGGUGAGGAAACCGAGGCACAGAGUGCUAAGUAACUCUUCCAAGAGCAUGCCAUGGGCAAGGGUCAGAGCUAGGAUCCAAGCCCAGCACACUGUGUGCAUCCCAGGGCCCUGACCACACAGCACACUGCCUGUGCAGAGGAGGCGGCUUUGCAAGCUGCCUGUAUUGGUAGUGACAGCAGUGAGGAAAGAAAAGUGAGGAAAGACUGUGAGGCUGCCUGGCCCAGGUUGACUGAAACCGUGAAGUGGUCGUGGCUUCUUUUUUCUGCAACAGCGGUAGCUGAGGAUGUAGUCUAUUCAUUCAAUGCUCAGCUUGCGUUUGAGUGAAUGCCUCAGGGGAGCAGCCAUUUGGUGGCACACAGGGAUGCUUGGAUCCUGGUAAAUGAGCCUUGGCUGGGGCCAGGUCUGCUGGCAACAAGUAUGUCAGUCAAGGACAGCUCCUCCUUUCUGGCCGGAGGACUCCACUGACUGAAAAGCCCAGUGCACAAAUACUGCUAAGCAGCGCGUUCCAGGCAGGAAAUGGGGUUAGGAAGAGAUAGCUUGUAGCUCAGAGAGCUACACAGUGCUGGACAAAGAAGUAGACUCCAGGGAAGCAAAGCACAAGCUGGUCAGUGCAGGAGAGGGAGGAGAUGGUUCUUGUCCCUGUGAUUCAGUGAAGUUCAUCCUGAUCUGACUGCACUCCCUGCUCCUCAAAGCGAGUACCUUUGCUCUGUGGGGUAAUAAGACCCCCCUCCCGUUGUUUAGGAGUCUGCCCCGCCCCCCCAGUCAGCCUGCAGAUUCUAAAGCAGGGAACUGUGUUUUACUCAUCUUCCAAGCCUGAAGUGGGGUCUCUCUAAUGGUAGGGAAUUAAAAGUGUGUGGACUAUUAAGAGAGUCAUUCUUUACUUAGCCCAAGAGGUGACACGUAAAACAAAGCACUGUGGUGGAUUACUAAGAUACUUUGUAUAUUUUUAGGGGAUAUUUGCUCUGAGCUCUUUAGAGGGAGAGGAGCAGGGGAGGGAGGAGUUGGAGACUGUAUCCCCUAUGCAUCCAGAAUGCGCAAGCAUGCACUUGUGUUCAUUUCCUCUGCUGCUUUGGAGUCUGGAGAGGAGGUCGCCGAGAGAAUGUCACAUCAGAGGCAGUAAAUAAAAUGACACGAAGUGACACCAGACGGGAAAUGCCACGAGAUGAAAGCACAGAGGUCCAGAGAGGUUAAUUAUCUGGCUUGAGGUCACAGAGCUCACACAGAGCUUGAGGUAACGGCCGGUGCUGAAACACAGCCUCCCAAGUGCUGGGAUUUCAGGCGUGCGCCACCACGCCCGGCACAACUCCGCACAUCUUUAAUGAACAAUUCAAGCAGCGUCGGUCACCGCGGACAGCACUGGAGGAACAUCUCCGGGUGGAGGACUGCAGAGCCGAGUGUGUCACUUCCCGAAACCCGCGACGUGACACACCCGAAGCAGUAGUUCCCUGUGUGCAUAAAUAAAGUGGGAUUUGUGUCUCUGAAGUUAUGAAAGGCACAGGAGGAAGAAGACAGACGAAAAUGUCUAGGAAAGGAGACGAGGAAAGGAUGCAGGACCCUGACGAGCUGGCGCAAGGCACAGGUCUGUUUUGACGCGCUGAUCGGACUGCCUUCCGCUUUCCUUUUCAAGCAGUGCCCGGCCCUGAAGGGCUAACGGGGUGCAGGUGAGCGGCCAAGGACACCCAGGGUGCCACGCUUCGCAAGCAGCUGCUAGAUCUGCCACCAGAGGGCAGGAGCGGCCCAGGCUCACAAGCGCGGUCCUCCUCCGUCUCCCGCGCCCGCAGCUCCCUGGAGCAGCCCGGGAGGAGGCACCCUCAAGGACAGCAGCGGCGUGGCGAGAGCGCUGCACCAGGGCUGCCUGGGGCGGGUAAGCGGGGAACUGGAGAAGGGGGACUCGUGGUGCUGACCUUGGAAGGGAAUGGACUAGCUAGGGAUCUAAACUCCUCGAAGCUUUCAAAAGGUGAAAGGGAUCUGGACAGUGCAGCGGCAGACGCCUCUCUGUCUCCAUCCAUUAGACUGUGAGCUCUGCUGAGGGCAAGAAUCACUGGCCAAUCUUAUGCACCAACCAAACUGGGCCGCGGGGGGCCCCGAUUAAGGGCAGCUGGUCCCGGGUAUGUCUCUGAGGGCUUUCUGCACGAGGCUGGCCUGCUGUCCAGUGGACUCAGAACAGCGCCGCGCUGGCCAGGGUGGGGUCACUCAGUGCGUUCAAAGGCUGAACAGGAGGAACACAGACGAAGGAGGACUCCUCCUCCCGCCUUUCCUUUUCACUGAUCAUACUUGGACAUGUCUCUCCUUCUCCUCGGACUGGGGUUUAUGUCAUCAGUUCCCCUGGUUUCUCGCCUUCGGGCUCAGAGUGCUUUCCUGGGCCUACAGCUUGCAGACGCCAGGCCAAGGGGCUUCCCAGCCACGACUGCACGAGCAGUUCCGCCCAAUAAACGCGUCUGUCUCCAGCAUCCCGCCAGCUAGAGUUUGGCCAACCAGAGGACUGAACGCACAGCACGCUGCUGUUGAGUAUAGGGGAGAUGCUGCAGAGCUGCCUCGGGAAGGAGUAUCUUGCGUCCCUGUAACUUAAUUCCAGUUAACAACGGCUCCCUAGUUCUUUCUCCCCUCCGCCUCUGGUCACCACCUUUGUACUCUCUGCUUCCAGAUAUCUCGUGUCGGUGGAGUCAUGCUGCGUUUGUGCCUCUGUGCCUGGCUUAUUUCCUUAGCCUAAAGUCUCCAGGUUCCUUUCUGCUGUCACAAAUGGCAGGAUUUCUUUCCCUUUAAUGGCUGAGUGAUAUUGCAUUGUAUGUACACGGGAAACAAAACGUGAUCUUUAUAUAUUACACAUAUGACACAGACUAUAGGUAUAUAUUUGUCCAUUUUCAUUGUUCAGUAUUUGUUGAUUUCAUGUUUGGUGUUAUUUAAAAAACCCACAGAAGAAUAAAAAGAGA